AUCGCAAGUCGAGCGAGGUAACCAGAAGCUUGCUUCUUCUGAUUUAGCGGCGGACGGGUGAGUAACACGUGGGCAACCUACCUAGUAGAUUGGGAUAACUCCGGGAAACCGGGGCUAAUACCCAAUAAUCCAUUUUGUCACAUGGCAAAAUGCUGAAAGGCGGUUUCGGCUGUCACUACUAGAUGGGCCCGCGGUGCAUUAGCUAGUUGGUGGGGUAAUGGCCUACCAAGGCAACGAUGCAUAGCCGACCUGAGAGGGUGAUCGGCCACAUUGGGACUGAGACACGGCCCAAACUCCUACGGGAGGCAGCAGUAGGGAAUCUUCCACAAUGGACGAAAGUCUGAUGGAGCAACGCCGCGUGAGUGAUGAAGGUUUUCGGAUCGUAAAACUCUGUUGUAAGGGAAGAACAAGUACGUUAGUAACUGAACGUACCUUGACGGUACCUUAUUAGAAAGCCACGGCUAACUACGUGCCAGCAGCCGCGGUAAUACGUAGGUGGCAAGCGUUGUCCGGAUUUAUUGGGCGUAAAGCGCGCGCAGGUGGUUUCUUAAGUCUGAUGUGAAAGCCCACGGCUCAACCGUGGAGGGUCAUUGGAAACUGGGAGACUUGAGUGCAGAAGAGGAAAGUGGAAUUCCAAGUGUAGCGGUGAAAUGCGUAGAGAUUUGGAGGAACACCAGUGGCGAAGGCGACUUUCUGGUCUGUAACUGACACUGAGGCGCGAAAGCGUGGGGGAGCAAACAGGAUUAGAUACCCUGGUAGUCCACGCCGUAAACGAU
rnacentral:rRNA from 1 species